rnacentral:rRNA from 1 species
CAGCAGCCGCGGUAAUACGAAGGGUGCAAGCGUUAAUCGGAAUUACUGGGCGUAAAGCGUGCGUAGGCGGUUUGUUAAGUCUGUUGUGAAAUCUCCGGGCUCAACCUGGGAAUGGCAAUGGAUACUGGCAAGCUAGAGUGUGUCAGAGGAUGGUGGAAUUCCCGGUGUAGCGGUGAAAUGCGUAGAGAUCGGGAGGAACUUCAGUGGCGAAGGCGGCCAUCUGGGACAACACUGACGCUGAGGCACGAAAGCGUGGGGAGCAAACAGGAUUAGAUACCCGCGUAGUCCCUGUCUCUUAUAC